UACAGAGGUCCCAAGCGUUGUUCGGAUUCAUUGGGCGUAAAGGGUGCGUAGGUGGCGCCGUAAGUCAGGUGUGAAAUCUCGGGGCUUAACUCCGAAACUGCAUUUGAUACUGCGGUGCUUGAGGACUGGAGAGGAGACUGGAAUUUACGGUGUAGCGGUGAAAUGCGUAGAUAUCGGGAGGAAUACCUAUGGCGAAAGCAGGUUUCUGGGCCACCACUGACGCUGAUCUGCGAAAGCUAGGGGAGCAAACAGG
rnacentral:rRNA from 1 species